UUUUUUCUCUAUUGUGGAGCUGCUUUCUCUUUUUUGGCAGGGAAUCCUGUCUGUUCUUAGGGGGUGGUAGCUGUUUGUACCUGGAAGCUGCUUCCUUCACUUCAGAGUGUAGCAUGAUGGGGUUUAAGGAUUACCUGUGCUCCUCCAAUCAGCGGUGUGAGAUCUGUGCGGCAGGUAACGAACACUAUGAGCUCCAUGUUGGUGCACUGCUUGUAUGCAGGUGGCAGCAGAGGUGCAGUGCUCUCGAGUGUCGUAACGACUGCAUGGAGAUGUGUGGAUUUUCAUGGGGACAGCAAGGAGCCGGAAUCUGCAUUUUCUGGAAUGCCCCGGAAGCUCACUUUGCUGACUGGUAAUUGUCUGUCCAGCAGGUGGCAGCAGAGCUGCGGUGCUCCCGAGUGCCGUAACGAUUGCAUGGAGACGUGUGGAUUUCCAUGGGAACAGCAAGGAACCAGAAUCUGCAUUUUCUGGAAUGCCCCGGAAGCUCACUUUGCUGACUGGUAAUUGUCUGCCCAACAGGUGGCAGCAGAGCUGCGGUGUUCUAGAGUGCCGUAACGACUGCAUGGAGAUGUGUGGGUCUUCAUGGGACCAGCAAGGAACCAGAAUCUGCAUUUCCUGGACUGCCUCGGAACUCUAUUAGCUGAUUGGUAAUUGUCUGCCCAGCAGGUAAGGGCAAUGCACACCCACCAGUGUUUAGUCAUCAUUUAGUGAGACACUAGGUAGGGUUUCCAGAGCUCAUUUCUACAUUUCAUGGUGCCUCGAAUGUUGCUUGUCUUACUCUUUGUGCAUUCUCUGUGCCUUCUCCGUGCCUUUGCCCUUUCCCUGCUGUGUUCUCUUGUUUUUCUGUUUUGGCGUUUCCUAUGGCAUUCUCUUGCCCUUUGUCCUUAGCCUUCUUUGACACGUUCCCUCUGUGUCCGGUUACUCACGACAUUCUGUUUGGCCUUUGGUUUUGGUGUUCCCUUCCAUCUUCUCUUUGGCCAUUAGUCUUGGCCUUUGCAACGUUCCCUUUGGCCUUCCCUUCUGGCGUUCCACGCGAUGUUCUUCUUGGCAUUCACUUUUGGUAUUCCUGGCUGCGUUCUCUUUGGCCAUUGCCCUUGGCCUUCUUUGCACGUUGUCUUUGCCUCUUGUUUUUGCAUUCACUACAGCGUUGUCUUUGACCCCUCGUUCUGGCCUUCCCUGUUAUGUUCUCUUUGGCCUCGGUUUUGGCGUUCCCUUCAAUGUUCUCUUUGGCCAUUGCUCCCGGCCUUUUUUGCCCCCCUCCCUUCGGCCUCUUGUUUUGGCAUCCAUUAAGGCAUUCUUUUUGGUCUUUGGUUUUGGCCUUCUGUGCCAUGUUCUCUUUGGCCUUUGCCCUUGAACUUGUGCAUUGGCCUUCCAUGCAGCGUUCUCAUGGACCUUGCCCUCCAUUUUGGCCUCCUUUGUGUGUUCUCUUUAGUCUCUGUUCUGGCGUUCUCUGUGGCCUUCUGUUUGGGCCUGACCUUUGAUGAGGCCUUUUCUUUGGCGUUCAGCCUGCUUUUGCUAUUACUUUGCCUGUGAUGUUGCCUUCCAUUGUGUGUCGUCUAUGCCUUUUUCCUCUUUUUUUGUGUUCCCUCAGCAGUUCUCUUUGACUUUUGGUCUUGCUUUGCCUUGGCCUUCGUAACAGUCACUCUGAGCGUAAUCCUAAUAUACCUAAGGCUAAUACCUUCAUCCUAAUGAGCUCUGAAUCUCAAAUGCAGUGCUAAUUGUAAGCAUGACUGUAUAGACAACUGUAGUAACAGUCCAAAUUAACCUUGAACCUACCCUUUAAUUGGGCAGUAAACCCAUGUGUAACCUCCUUUGUAAUUCUAAGAAAAAUCCUACAGCUUCCUUGUUCAGUACUGCUGAUCUUACUGUGAAGCCAUUUCUUGGGGUGGCGUUUGGCUUCCAUGUUUUGUGGUGGUGGGCUUAUGGUGAGUGUUGUUUGUGUCGGCAUUCCUCCUUGUAAACCAUCUCGCUCUGUAUUACAGGUGAAGAUGUCUUCGACAUUUCCAGUUGAUGAUUUCCCUGCUGGGACGGCAUCAGCUUUUCAGGUCUGACACACUGACCACCAGCUCGGUUCAGUUGAGCAGUUACACGUAUUUCCCAGUCUGUUCCCUUUGCUUAGUCUUCCUUUCAGUCUUCCAGAAGCUCCUACCACCGUCCAAGGUCGGCACAGGCAACAUGUGAUUUGUGGCACUCAGUCACACUGUAGUUCAUUUCAAUGACCUCAGCUCAGCGAUCCCAUCCACUCCCCUCCUUUGGGCCCUUCUACUGUCAGGCCAAUGAAAGCUUCCUACUGAUGCGAUUUGUGUUCUUGCCUGGCCAUUUCUAGCCUCGUGCCCCUUUGUGGCCUUUUUGAGAAUUGCAGUGAUUUCACUGUGUGCAGCCAAGUUAUUUCAAUCAAAUUGGUUUCAGUUUUGCAAUCAAUUUAUGUGAACCAAAUUGGUUUUAGCUUUGCCUUGCUUACGGGGUUGGGUUAGCUUUGCUUUGUUUGUUUGUACCGCAGGGCUAACCCAACCCCAUAAGCAAGGCCUAAGCGCCAUUGGAGGCGAUUUGUGCUCCUUCCAGGCCAGUCUGAGAUUCGUGCCCCUUUGUGGCCAUUUGGAGAAUUGCACUGAUUUAAGCAUGUGUAUUCAAUUUAUCUCUUCAAAAUUGUCUUCAGCUUUGCAGUUACUUUGCAUUAACCAAAUUGACUUGGGCUUUGCAUUCAGUUACUGUAAACCAAAUUGGCUUGAGUUUUGCCUUGCUUACGGGGUUGGGUUAGCUUUGCUUUGUUUGUUUGUACCGCAGGGCUAACCCAGCCCCGUAAGCAAGGCCCAAGGGCCGUUGGAGGCGAUGUGUGUUCUUUCCCGGCCAGUCUGAGACUCGUGCCCCUUUGUGGCCAUUUUGAGAAUUGUGCUGUUUUCAGCAUGUGCAUUCAAUUUAUCUCCCAUAAAUUGGCUUUAGCUCUGCAUUCAAUUAAUGUAAACCAAAUUGGUUUUAGCUUUGCCUUGCUUAUGGGGUUGGGUUAGCUUUGCUUUGUUUGUUUGUACCACAGGGCUAACCCAACCCUGUAAGCAAGGCUUGAGGGCCAUUGGAGGUGGUAUGUCUUCUUUCCCGGCCACUCUGAGAGUUGCACCAAGUUGCGGCCAAAAUGAGAAUUGCAUUUUGUUUUGGAUGCGCUGAGAUACUUAUUGCUUGUGAGGUGGGUUGCAGUAUAAAAUGCUUGUGUAAUGUAAUCUUGUUCAUGGGGUAUUUAGGCCUGGUGAUCUUUCCCUGGUUUAUCUGUUACCUGUAAAAAUGUCUUGCGAGUGUAUUGAAAAAGUGUAUGCUGCGCCUUUAAAAUGUAUCCUGUCAUGUAUGGAAAAUAUGUAUGCUGUUCAUCAACUAAGUUGUGGAAUUGUAAUGAAUAAGUGUACCAUGUUCUGCUAGUAAAUGACUGUUGUUAUACUGUGCAUAUGCUUCUAAGAGUUAUGUCUUGUUCAAAUAAUGGUACAAUAAAAUACUCAUGUCAUUUAACUGUAUUGAGUCUUGCAUUGUCACUAUCAGGACUGGGAACAGAAGAAGGUAGGUGUUGAAGGUAAGUGUGGACAGCUGUAGACUAAGAGGGA
ensembl:lncRNA